UGAGCAAUCUGCCCUUCACAUCGGAAUAACCAUUGGAAACGAUGGCUAAUACCGAAUAUGACUUCGGAUCGCAUGAUCUGAAGUGGAAAGCUCCGGCGGUGAAGGAUGAGCUCGCGGCCUAUCAGCUAGUUGGUGUGGGUAAUGGCCCACAAGGCGACGACGGGUAGCCGGCCUGGAGAGGGUGACCGGCCACACUGGGACUGAGACACGGCCCAGACUCCGUAACGGGG
rnacentral:rRNA from 1 species